rnacentral:rRNA from 1 species
ACAGGGUGACAGGUGGUGCAUGGUUGUCGUCAGCUCGUGUCGUGAGAUGUUGGGGUUAAGUCCCCGCAACGAGCGCAACCCUCGCCUCUAGUUGCCAGCAUUCGGUUGGGCACUCUAGAGGGACUGCCGGCGACAAGUCGGAGGAAGGUGGGGAUGACGUCAAAUCAUCAUGCCCCUUAUGACCUGGGCUACACACGUGCUACAAUGGGCGGUACAAAGGGCUGCGAACCCGCGAGGGGGAGCGAAUCCCAAAAAGCCGCUCUCAGUUCGGAUUGCAGGCUGCAACUCGCCUGCACGAAGCCGGAAUCGCUAGUAAUCGCGGAUCAGCAUGCCGCGGUGAAUACGUUCCCGGGCCUU